rnacentral:snRNA from 1 species
UUUCCACAGAAAACAUACUAAAAUUAGAAUGACAGCAGAAGACUAGCAUGGUCCCUGUGUAAGGCUGAUACACACAUUCAAGAAGUACUCCAUAUUUUU